rnacentral:ribozyme from 13 species
UAAGAAGAACGAUAAUGAGAAUAAGAAUCAUAAUUCCCAUAAUUUCUCCAUCCUUCUUCUCUUCUCAUCCUUCUCACUCUCUUCUCUUUUUCUCUUUUUUCCUCUUCUCCCUUCAGCCAAAUUUGUGGGAU